UAUGUACUCCCUCCGUCCGAAAAAGAUUCUCUCUCAAAUGGUUGUAUCUAGCACCAAGUUAGUGCUAGAUACAUCCAUUUGAGAGACAAGUUUGGGACAAGUUUUUUCGGACGAGGGAGUAGUUG
rfam:Triticum aestivum genome assembly, contig: Triticum_aestivum_CS42_TGACv1_scaffold_570607_7AS